rnacentral:rRNA from 1 species
CACGUAGGGCGCGAGCGUUGUCCGGAAUUAUUGGGCGUAAAGAGCUCGUAGGCGGUUUGUCGCGUCUGCUGUGAAAACCUAAGGCUCAACCUUGGGCUUGCAGUGGUACGGGCAGACUAGAGUGCGGUAGGGGUGACUGGAAUUCCUGGUGUAGCGGUGGAAUGCGCAGAUAUCAGGAGGAACACCGAUGGCGAAGGCAGG